rnacentral:rRNA from 1 species
CACACUGUAAACGAUGAUUACUAGGUGUGGGGGGAUUGACCCCCUCCGUGCCGCAGUUAACACAAUAAGUAAUCCACCUGAGUAGUACGGCCGCAAGGUUGAAACUCAAAGGAAUUGACGGGGGCCCGCACAAGCAGUGGAGUAUGUGGUUUAAUUCGACGCUACGCGAAAAACCUUACCAGGUCUUGACAUCCGACUAACGAAGCAGAGAUGCAUCAGGUGCCCUUCGGGGAAAGUCGAGACAGGUGG